CGCCGCUGCUAUGGGCGCCACUGUUGUUGUGAAGCCCCGACGCCGCCGCUCACUCCGCCAUGUUGCCGCCCCCUGCCUGCGGUAGCGGCCACUGCGCCUGCGCAGAGCCUCCGGGGGGCGGAGCCCUGGCGGCACCCCCUCUUUCGCCCUGCCCUCCUUCUCCUUCCACCCACCCACCCCGACACCCCUUGUCCCUCCCCCAACCACUCUGAACGGAUAGACAGGGGGAGAUUCAUCUUCGUCGUCGCACCCAGCUGCUGCUACUGCCAGUGCCACGUGCCUUGCAAGAUAAAGAAGCACCAGCAGAGCUGGCGAGCAGAAACCUGGCCUCAGGGCAAAAGAGAUGCCACAGAAAUAGUUACACAGGCCUCGGAAGGGAAGCCUCCACUGCGUGUACGGCCCCCGUGGACUGCCACAGGAUUUCCUAGGAUCCUCCUGGAAGCCUCAAAGAAUGGGUCAGAUUUUUUGGAUUCUAAGCAUCAUGACACUCUAUAAAAGAGAGCCUGGAGCAACCUUGAAAUUAAGCCACACAGGCAGCCAUUUACUUGGUUAAUGAACAUUGCUAUUUCAUUGGUUUUAAGCUUAUCAGAAAAAUAAUUGAGUUGAGAGUAAUUGGGUUUACAUCAUGGAUUGAACUUUGGAAACUUCACUGACCACUUAAUUUAAACAGGCGCUGGUGCUGAUGGUCAUUCUGGCUCCUGGCUGGAAGCUCCCUGGAGAGGCACUGGUGGCAGCAGAAUUCUCACCUUCUCGAGGUGCUCAGGGUUGGAAUCCUAGGUACAUCAGGGAAGCUCUCCUAGUCAACACAGGAGACGCGGGGAAAAUCAGGUUGCUAGAAGCUCCUUCUCAGUCAUUUUUUGGACCGUAAGAGCUGAACAAUGUUUGUCAGUAGUGAGGUGGGCGCGUUAUUCGGUACGAACUUUACUGGCUCCCUGAGUGAUGACAUCGCACUGGAGUGCAUGCCUUUAGCACUGUCACAUCCUUCUCCUGAAGAGGUAACACGGGUCUCAGGAAUUUCUGCAUGUCUUUGAAUUGUGUCAGAAACCGAUCAGCGUCACCCUUCCAGGUCUCCUAAUUGUAGGUUUAAUACGGGAAAGUGCAUCUAAUUAGGGAUCCUUUCCUGGUGCAGAUAUUUUUAGAAGCAGAUUUAGACGACAAGGAUUCAAUUCAACUAUGUCCAUUAUGUUUAAAGGUGACCUUAGAGUAUGUGUUUUCAUCAUUUCCCCACAGUAGAGCUGGCCUUGUGCUGGUGCACUAGAGCUGUCACACCUGGCUCCCUUGUGAUCAGAGACAUGCCAAGAGAGAGUGACACUCUGAGAGCAGAUCCAAUCCAUGACCUUUGCCUCAUUAGCAGCCUGACCCAACCAAUCAGAGAAAAGGCUGCCUUUGAUUCUGUAGCACAGACAUGGCUGUGACAAGGACAGUGAUCGACUCCUUGAUGUGACUCCCAGAGGAAGCCCGGGUUCUCUUUGAAAUGCUUUGUCCGUGCUGACAUACCAGUGUAGGAUGCCUUUCACUUGGCUGUCUUUCUCCCCCUCUGGAUCUCAUUCUCUCUUUAAUUAAAAUGCCAGCAUGCUCAGGUUACCCACUGAUCUUACGUAAAUGCAAGUCAUAUAUCUAUUUCCUUUUUCUCAGAAAUGCAUCAAACACUCACAGAUAUGCACUGAAAUUCAAUAUCUAUAUUUUUAGAUUUUCUUAAUUAAAAAAAGUAACUGUUCAUUAGCAAUAGUUCUAGAAUUACUAAAUAAAAGGUAGCAAAAUAGUACAAAAACUUUCAGUGUACCCUUCACCUGGCUUACCCAGAUGUUGACGUCUUAUUGUCUUAGCAUAAUGAUUGAGAGAGUGUGGAAUCCACUAGGGAAGCAUAAUGAUCAAAACCAGGAAACUAACAUGCAAUAUGAUUAACUAAUCUUCAGACUUUAUUAAAAAUUUCCCCAUUGUUCCACCAGUAUCCCUGUUCUGAUUUAGGAGCCAGUCCAGGAUCACACAUUGCAUUUAGUAGUCCCGAUUUCUUAGUCUCUUCCAAUCUGGGACCAUUUCUCUGUCUUGACUUUUGAAGAAUACCAGCUAGUUACUUUGUAAAACGUCCCUCAAUUUGAGGUAGGCGGUGCUUUCUUCAUAUCAAAAUCAGACGACGCAUUUCUUUUUGGUAAGAAACCACCAUGGUGAUGUUGUGUCCUUCUCAGUCCAUCACUGUAUUAAUUACUCUGAUCACCGGUAAUGCUCACUCUGAUCACUUACGAUGCUGUCUGCCACUGUAAAGGGACUAGUCUACCCUUUGAGAUUAAAAAAAAUAAAAUAAAAUUUCUCCACAAAUUAUGUUGUGGAGAGAUAACCAAAGAUUAUAUAAGCAUACUGUCUCUUACAAUAUUUACUUAAAUCUUUGGAUUUUUCCAACUAAAAAGUGUAAGCAGAUGAAUAAAAUCAAAAAAGAAUUAAGGGAAUUCCCAUCUUGGCUCAGUGGAAAUGAAUCCGACUAGGAUCCUUGAGGACACAGGUUUGAUCCUUGGCCUUGCUCAGCAAGUUAGGGAUCUGGUUGCCAUGAGCUGUGGUGUAGGUCACAGAUGAGGCUUGGAUCUGGUGUUGCUAUCUGUGGCUGUGGUGUAGGCUGGUGGCUACAGCUCUGAUUCAACCUCUAGCCUGGGAACCUCCAUAUGCUGGGGAUGCGGCUCUAAAAAGACAAAAAACAAACUAAAAAGAAUUAAACAAAUGCAGAGAUAUUCCAUGACCAUGAUAGAAAGACUCAACGUUGUCAUGACAUCAGUUCUCAAUUUGAUCUGUAGAUUCAGUGGACUCCAAGUCAAAAUCCCAGCAAGUUAUUUUGUGAAUAUUGACAAACUCAUUCUAAAGUUUACGUGGAGCAGCAAAAGACCUAGAAUAGUCAACACAAUAUUGAAGGAGGAGAACACAGUUAGAGGACUUAUGCUACCUGACUUCAAGACUUAUUUAAGACAGCCUUUUCAAUAAAUGCUGCUGGCAAAACGGGACAUCCACAUGCAAAAUAAUGAAUUAGACAUAGACGUUACUACCCAUCCAUCUCAAGAAUCAACUCUAAAAGGAUUACAGCUCUAAAUGUAAACCCCCAAAACUAUAAAGCUCCUAGAAGGUAAUAGAGGGGAAAACCUAGAUAACCUUGCAUAUAGCAGUAACUUUUUAUAUACAACACCAAAGACACAAGGCAUGAAGGAACUAAUUGGUAAGCUAGAUUUCACUCAAAUAAAAACUUCUGUUUUGCGAAAGACAACAUCAAGAGAAUGAGAAGACAAGCCCAAACUGAGAGAAACAUACUUGCAAAAGAUAUCUGGUAAAGGAUUGUUAAGCAAAACAUACAAAGAACUCUUAAAACUCAACAAUAAAACAAUUAAAAAAUGAGCCAAAGACCUUAAUAGACACCUGUUAUUGUCGAUAAUAAAGUAUAUACAAAGAUGCUCCACAGCAUAUGUCAUCAGGGAAAUUUGAAUUAAACAAAAAUGACAUAAAACUAUACACCAUUAAAGUGACCAAAAUCCAGAACACUAAUAAGACCAAAAGCUGAUAAGAAUGUAGAGCAACAGGAACUCACAUUGAUUGCUGGUGGGAAAUGCUAAAUGGCACAGCCACAUUGGAAGGCAGUCUGGAAGGUUUUUAGUAAAUGAAACAUACUUUACCAUGUGAUUCAGCAUUGAUGUUCCUUGAAACUUACCCAAGAAGCUGAAAACUUACGUACAGCAAAAAACCUGCACAUGGAUUUUUAUAGAAGCAUUAUUCAUAACUUCUAAAAUUUAGAAGCAACCAAGAUGUCCUUCAGCAGGUGAAUGGAUAAAUAACCCGUGAUACAUCCUGAUAAUGGAAUACGAUGCAGCACUAAAAAAGAAAUGAACUAUCAAGCCUUGAAAAGACAUGAAAGAACCUUAAUUGCAUAUUAUCAAGUGAAAGAAGACAAUCUGAAAGAUUACACAUUGUAUGAUUCCAACUAUACAAUAUUCCAGAAAAGGCAAAACUAUGGAUAUAAAAAAGAUCAGUGGUUUCUAGGGGUUGGAAAGUGGAGAGGGCUGAAUAGACAGAGUAGGGGAAAUUUUUUGGGCAGUGACAAUACUCUGCAUGAUACCGUAAUGAUGGAUACAUGUCACUAUACAUUUGUCUAAACCCAUAGACUGUAUUACACCAAGAGUGAACCAUAAUGUAAACUGUGGACUUUGAAUGAUUAUGAUGUGUCAGUGUAGGUUCAUUAAUUGUAACACGUAUCCAUCUGAUGGGGAAUGUUGAUAAACGGGAGGCUGUACCUGUGUAGGGGGAAUGGGUAUAUGAGAAAUCCCUGUACCUUCCCCCUUGGUUUGCUAUAAACCAAAACAACUCUAAAAAGCAAAGUUUUAAUAAUAAAAAAAAAGUGUUAGUGAGACCUU
rnacentral:lncRNA from 1 species